ensembl:snRNA U2 U2 spliceosomal RNA
AUCGCUUCUCGGCCUUUUGGCUAAGAUCAAGUCUAGAAUCUGUUCUUAUCAGGUUAAUAUCUGAUACGUCCUCUAUCUGAGGACAAUAUGUUAAAUGGAUUUUUGGGACUAGGGGAUGGAAUAGGAGCUUGCUCCGUCCACUCCACGCAUUGACCUGGUAUUGCAGUACCUCUAGGAACGGUGCACCAAAA